UGGGGAAUAUUGGACAAUGGGGGCAACCCUGAUCCAGCCAUGCCGCGUGAGUGAUGAAGGCCUUAGGGUUGUAAAGCUCUUUUACCAGGGAAGAUAAUGACUGUACCUGGAGAAUAAGCCCCGGCUAACUUCGUGCCAGCAGCCGCGGUAAUACGAAGGGGGCUAGCGUUGUUCGGAAUCACUGGGCGUAAAGCGCAUGUAGGCGGCCAUUCAAGUCGGGGGUGAAAUCCCAGAGCUCAACUCUGGAACUGCCUUCGAUACUGUCUGGCUCGAGUGUGGAAGAGGUUGGUGGAACUGCGAGUGUAGAGGUGAAAUUCGUAGAUAUUCGCAAGAACACCAGUGGCGAAGGCGGCCAACUGGUCCAUUACUGACGCUGAGAUGCGAAAGCGUGGGGAGCAAACAG
rnacentral:rRNA from 1 species